rnacentral:tRNA from 1 species
ACCUGUGUGGUGUAGUGGUUUGAGUGUUGGAUUAUGACUCUGUAGAACAGGGUUCAAAUCCCCACUGAGGGG